GGCAAGAUGGGGAGCCACUGGGGGAAAAAAAAAAACUAACCAACUAAACAAAAUAAAAACACCUGCAUAUGUUCUUGAUUUCCAAGCCAAGCAAAACAUAUUUGAUAGCACUCAGAGUAAAACAUAGGUCACACAUCUCAGAAAUAGCAAUUUAUUCAUAGUAGUCAAGAUUUAUGCUUUCCCAUUUUGACAGCAACAGUAUGAAUUUAAAUAGAAAGAAGGUAUAUUAAUAGACAACACUUUAGAAUUUCAGGAACAAAAUUUUCAAAGGAUAGAGGAGAGUUACAUAGGACUCCCUUGAAUGCUAUUUGAAAUACAUAUGUUGGUUAACAUGAAUCUUCUAAAGAUGAUUUAUUCCCCUCAUCUCCUUGGGGCCAUUUCCAAGUCUUUUGGGUUUGGAAAAACAACUAAUGGUCUGAUUUUCCUUUGAGAGGAAGAAUGGGGAUGGAAUGAUGUUUUGCUCUUUUGUUAUUCCGUGAGUUGGGCAUGGCAUCAGUUCCAUGAAGAAGACUGAAAGUAACCCAUAAUGGCUUUUGGAUAUGUUAAUAACUAUGUAUCAUUUUACAUUUGUAAUGAGAAGACACUCUUGUCAGUGAGACAUGCCACAUUGUUAAGUCACAGAAAAUUACAUAAUAGUACAAUAAUCUGGGGUGAUGGAAGGCUGCUUUUUGCUCUUGUAGAUCAGAAAUGGUAAACACUCCCAAGCCUCUAACUUGAGAGGGAUGCAUUUAGCUCAUUUCUCUACUUUUUCAGCUGAAGCAUUGUCAUGAAUCUAUAUAUGCCAAGUGUUCAUGAUAGGUCCAUUCCUCCAUACUCUAGGUCUACAGAUAAUGCUUCAGGACAGUCAUAUCCAUUGGGAAAGUGGGUCCAGAAUAGAAGAGGGAAGGAGGGAGCUGUCCAGUGAGAUAAGGAGUCUUCUGUUUGGAAGAAGGAAACUUGGAGAAAGUUCUCCAUGGCAAGGAGAGGGAGUACUGCUCAGUCAACUGUCACAACUACUUGUUUUAAAAGGAUAA
rnacentral:lncRNA from 1 species